rnacentral:misc_RNA from 1 species
AUGCUCGGGCACGCACACCCACGGAUAAAGCAGUGACACCCGUGAUCCCACUUCACAGGGACGUUUCUUUCCCUCCUCUCCUCCUCACAGACCUACGGAGACCCGCCGUCUUUCCUCCGCCCUUCUCGGGCACCAGGACGAGCGCACGUUUCUAUUCACGCACACUCGACCUCCUCGCCUCUCUUUCUGUUCUCCCUUUCGCACGCCUUAGCCACUCCUCACACGUACACAUGCACGCGCGCACUGCCGCAGCACCAACAGUACCACCGACGCCCCUCUAAUCUUUCCGGUGCUUCGAAUUUCGCUAUAGGGAGGGUCUGCCAACAUGCGACGCUUCACUGCCCGCUACGCCGUCAGCGCCGCGGCAUUCACCUCGGCUCGUCGGUUGCCAUUGCGGUUCGGCAUGUACUGGGCACAGCGGUGCCCCUCGCGCUUCGCUGCAACCAAGUUCCAUCUCUCCGCUGCGGACGAGACGGUCGCUGCCGCCAAGCCCUGGGUAGCACCACCGCAUAACCGGUCCGUUGCCCACUGGCUGUACAUCAGCGCCGCAUGCGUGGGUGCCGUUGUCUGGUUGGGCGGGGUGACGCGCCUGACGGAGAGUGGGCUGUCCUUGGUGGAGUGGAAGCCGAUUAGCGGCGUGCGCCCGCCGCUGACGGACGAGGAGUGGGACAAGGAGUUCCGCCACUACCAAGAGUUUCCCGAGUUCAAGCAGAAGCCGAACAUGACGCUGAAGGAGUUUCAGUUCAUUUUCUUCUGGGAGUGGGCACACCGCGUGCUCGCGCGCAGCCUCGGCCUCGUCUUUGGCGGCCCGCUGCUCUACUACGCCGGCCGCGGCUACUUCAAGGGCAACGGCAAGUUCCUGGCUGGCCUCGUCGGCAUCAUGGGCCUGGGUGCUGCCCAGGGGCUCAUGGGGUGGUACAUGGUCACAAGCGGGCUGGACAACAAGCUGCUCGAGGAGCGCAGGAAGGCGACCGUGUCCGCCUACCGCCUCGCCGCCCACCUCAUUCUCGCCUUCACCAUCUAUUCCUUCAUGCUGCGCAUGGGCUACGGGCUGAAGCUACCGGCCAUGGCACCCUUCCCUCGCAUGGCCAAGGUGCAGCUGUGGCUGCGGAUGUCCUUUGCCAUGAUGUUUGUGACGGCCAUCUCAGGCGCCUUUGUGGCUGGACUCGAUGCGGGGCUCCUGUACAACGACGAUUUUCCCUGGAUGGCUGGCGGCGUCUUCCCGCCGGCUGACCAUCUCUUUGCCCUUGAGCCGACGUGGCGCAACUUCUUUGAGAACCACUCGAUGGUGCAGACGACCCACCGCGUCAUGGCCGGCGUGACCUUUCUGACGAUCACGGGACUGAACGUGGCUGCGUCGCGGCGGCGCGGCUUCAUUCCGCCGCCUGUCUUCCGCAACCUCAUGCUUGUGAACACGGCUCUGCUGUUCCAGGUCAGUCUUGGCAUGUGGACGGUGAUGUCGACGGUGUACGUCCCCGUCGCCGUGUCUCACCAGAUGGGUGCGCUGGUACUUCUCACCACUCUGAUUCGCUUGUGUGCAGUGGUGGGCAGUCGUGGCGUCGUGCUCGCCUAGACAACCGCGUGCGUGUGCGUGUGUGCGUCUGGGCACAGAGCUUCUGCAGGGGUUGGGUGGGUGGGGGCGGCCAGGAUGUGUGCCCCCAUCGCUCUCGAACAUAGACGAGGGG